rnacentral:rRNA from 1 species
GGGCCCGCACAAGCGGCGGAGCAUGCGGAUUAAUUCGAUGCAACGCGAAGAACCUUACCUGGGUUUGACAUACACCGGAAAGUGCCAGAGAUGGUGCCCCUUUUUGUCGGUGUACAGGUGGUGCAUGGCUGUCGUCAGCUCGUGUCGUGAGAUGUUGGGUUAAGUCCCGCAACGAGCGCAACCCUCGUCCUAUGUUGCCAGCACGUGAUGGUGGGGACUCAUAGGAGACUGCCGGGGUCAACUCGGAGGAAGGUGGGGAUGACGUCAAGUCAUCAUGCCCCUUAUGUCCAGGGCUUCACGCAUGCUACAAUGGCCGGUACAAAGGGCUGCGAUCCCGUGAGGGGGAGCGAAUCCCAAAAAGCCGGUCUCAGUUCGGAUUGGGGUCUGCAACUCGACCCCAUGAAGUCGGAGUCGCUAGUAAUCGCAGAUCAGCAACGCUGCGGUGAAUACGUUCCCGGGCCUU